rnacentral:sRNA from 1 species
GAGACCUGGAUGCUGGGCAUCCUCGCUAGAUCCCCUACAAAUUCCCCACAUACGUAGGCCAGGAGCCUCAGCGGUGCCUCUGCAGGCUCAUCUGGCAGGACGGUACCAGCUUGCUCAGAACAGGGGCUGGCUAUUCAUCAUCUCAGAGCAUAGAGACCCUCUCCUUGCCACCCGGCCCUUCCCACCUGGUUGGUGACAAAUCACAAGGUGGUAGAAGUUGCCAGGGACAGAUAACAUGGCAGCCAGCGGGAAGACCAGCAAGUCUGAACCAAACCAUGUUAUCUUCAAGAAGAUCUCCCGGGACAAAUCGGUGACCAUCUACCUGGGGAAGAGAGACUACAUAGACCAUGUCAGCCAAGUCCAGCCUGUGGAUGGUGUCGUGUUGGUUGAUCCUGAUCUUGUGAAGGGAAAGAAAGUUUCCUGACUACUUGCCCUGUUCAGUGAUGUUGCAGCCAGCUCCACAAGAUUCAGGGAAGUCCUGUGGGGUUGACUUUGAGGUCAAAGCAUUCGCCACAGACAGCACCGAUGCCGAAGAGGACAAAAUCCCCAAGAAGUAAGAGUAUGGUUGCGGAAUAGGUGAGGGGUCUGCGGUGGGGGUGGAGAGAAGAGACGACCUCCACCUUGUCUCUGUGGGACAGACCUCUUCCCAUAGGGCUGGCACGGCUGGGGUACCAUCUGCAUGUGGGAUGGAGGUCAAAGGUUGAUCAUUUUGGGGGAAAAAAAAGAAAACAAGAAAAUGACAGGGAAGUUAGCAAUCUCCAGGGCUCACGUAAGCCCCGAAAAGCUCCCGGGUUUCCCCUUUGUUUAAGUUUUGUUGUUGUUGUUUGUUUGUUUGUUUGUUUUUUGUGGUAAAAUGUACACAACAUGAAGUUUGCCAUUUUAACCACUUUUUUUUUCUUUUUUUCUUUUAUUUUUUGAAAUGGAGCCUCGCUCUGUCCCCCAGGCUGGAGUGCAAUGUGACCUCGGCUCACUGCAACCUCCACCUCCCAGGUUCAAGCGAUUCUCCUGCCUCAGCCUCCCGAGUAGCUGGGAUUACAGGCGUGUGCCACCACGCCUGGCUACUUUUUUUUUUUGUAUUUUUAGUAGAGAUGGGUUUCACCAUGUUGGCCAGGCUGGUCUUGAACUCCUGACCUCAAGUGAUCCGCCUGCCUUGGCCUCCCAAAGUGCUGGGAUUACAGGCGUGAGCCACUGUGCCCAGCCCAUUUUAACCACUUUUAAAUGUACCAUUCAGUGGCUUAAGUACAUUCCGAAUGUUGUGUAGCCUUCACCGCUGUCUAUACCCAAAACUUUCCCAUUGCCUGAGCAGGAACUCUACAACCAUUAAGCCUACCGCUCCAUCCUUCCCAUUCUCCCACCCCCUGUGCUGUUUUUUUUUUACCUAAACAAGAUUUCCGCCUGGCCCUUCGCACUGUCUCCUCAUGCCCCAUGUACACAUCUCUGGAGGCGCAGGAUAGUGAGCUGCAGUAAUGGAGCUCGCAUGUAUAUGGCAGCUAUUCCAUGAGGCCCUUGACGCCCUCACACCUUAGCCUCGCUGACAGGAGGCAGAGCCAGGAAUCCACGGAGCCUAAGGGGCUAAGCUUGGCCCUCGGGAUGUUGCCUGGCCCCACAGCUUCCCCCACAGGGAAGGGACCAGGACCCAGACCCCCAGGCUCUUCCACCGUCAGGGCUGCCUCAGGCUCUGACCAGUGUCCUUGCCCUCUUCCUGUCCACCCUGUCUCCAUGGGGAGCAUUCCUGGAGAAUCUCCAUGUGACAGUGGGGAGAGAACAGAAGCCUCCCUGAAGCAGCCUGGGUGCCAAUCCCUGGCUUGUCUGUGGCUGUUUCCCACAGGAGCUCCGUGCGAUUACUGAUCCGCAAAGUACAGCAUGGCCCACUUGAGAUGGGUCCCCAGCCCCGAGCUGAGGCGGCCUGGCAGUUCUUCAUGUCUGACAAGCCCCUGCACCUUGCGGUCUCUCUCAACAAAGAGGUAACCACCUACCAUCGCUACUACCCACAGGGCAGCAGGCCUAGGGGCAGGCCCCACACCCCUCUCUUCACCAGCCCCAGCCCUUAACUACAUGGGUGCCUUGCAAGGAAGCUUGUUUCUGGGAUAAAGCACCAACAUGUGUAAGUGACUGGCCUGUUUUCACAGCCUGGAGCUGGUCAGCAUGGUCCUUAGGGGAGGACGGAACUGGCUUGCGUUCCACCCACUGGCUGUCCCGAGGGACUGGGGAAGGAAGGGGCGCUGCUUUUCACAUACCUGCCCCCCAGCUGUCCUUGUCCUGUCCACCUCCAUGGGCCUUGUUCACCCACGGAGCAUCAAUAGCUGUGGUAUCCCAAAUUCUUCACUUCCUGGGAAAUUUAAGUUUUGCAGAAACCAUGUGGGAUGGCAGUGUCACCUGUGAUGUCAUCUCUUAGGGGUGUCAUGGUGGGAAAAGGUGAGAGCUGCUGGCCAAGGCUGGCUCUGGUUCCUCUGGUCAGCAGUCAGCCGUGUGUGCACUGUGUGUGUACACGUGUGUGGGUGUGCCCAGGGGCUGUGUUACACGGGCUCUGCUGGGUGGGAUGCCAGCACUUGGCUUUCCCAGUGGUUUCCUUUCACUUCACUCAUCCUGCCCCCAUAACCUCCUGACCCCUGGCCUCCUCCGAUGUGAUGAUCGGAACUCUAUUCCCCUCCCCAGCUCCCCACAGAUGGGUGGAAUGUGUUUCAGGCCCUUCCUUAGAAGAAAUGUAUUGCUAUCACUUCAUCUUCCUUAAAUUCUGCCGCUUUUACUCCAGUGAAAGGGAUUGAGAUGAAUCUAGAAAGCAGUAAGAUUAAAGACACCGCCACAUCUGUUCUCUUCUUCUGACCUAUCUGCUGACUUUUCUAGAUCUAUUUCCAUGGGGAGCCCAUCCCUGUGACCGUGACUGUCACCAAUAACACAGAGAAGACCGUGAAGAAGAUUAAAGCAUUCGUGGAACAGGUGGCCAAUGUGGUUCUCUACUCGAGUGAUUAUUACGUCAAGCCCGUGGCUAUGGAGGAAGCGCAGUGAGUAGCUGUUGGGGUUUCCGUUUCCUGGGCGUCUCAGCCUUCUGUGUCAAGUUUCUCGCCGUUUAUUGCUGAAGAAGUAACUAGAAUGUUCAGCUAGCUCGCCAGCCUUCCACUUCCUUCCUCUUUCUCCCUUCGAGGGCUGCACAGAAAGUUAGCAUCUUAGCUCUGCAUCUACCACACCCCUCUGUGCCCAUCUUACAGGAGUUCUGAGGAUUAAUGCAAGCCAAAGAAUGACGCAGAGGAGAGAAAUAAAGACAGAAAUAUCACCAUGGGAUCAGCUGGCUUUUUCUAUUUAUCCCUGGAAUGAAUUGUUAGGAAUUUGAUACUAUUUCCACCUCCCAGAAGAUGGUCAAAUGAACUGUCAGCCCAGGCUAGGAUUCCCUAUCUUUUGAUCUCAAAUUGAAAUCUUAUACCAGUGACAACUGGAUUAGAAUAUAUCCGUUCUUAGCCUGUUGUUGUGAAUGACUUUUCCCCUUUGUUAGAAUCAAAAACAAAUGAGAAUCCUGCCAUGGUUCCUUUAUGCUGGCCUGAGAGACCUGCCCAGCUUUGCUGUGUGCCACAAAGUCAAAUAGAUUCAUUUAAUACAUGGCUUGGGGUGGGGGGCGAUGAUCUCCCACCUCCAGCCCCCCGAGAGGAUAGCUCGACCAGGUCUUAACUCUUUGCCUUGCUGGCAUGUUCUAAGCACCGUUGUAUGUAAAAAAUAUUAUCAGGUUUAGAGGAAGGUUAGGGUAGGGGAGUGAUGAAAGACAACUGAUUCCUUAAGAUAAUAUAAGGUAAUAGAUAGAUUUUUUUGAGAUGGAGUCUCACUCUGUUGCCCAGGCUGGAGUGCAGUGGUGAGAUCUCAGCUCACUGCAACCUCCACCACCCAGGUUCGAGCCAUUCUCCUGACUCAGUCUCCCAAGUAGCUGGAAUUACAGGAGCCCGCCACCACGCCCAGCUAAUUUUGUAUUUUUUUUUUUUUUGAGACGGAGUUUUGCUCUUGUUGCCCAAGCAGGAGUGCAAUGGCGCGAUCUUGACUCACUGCAACCUUUGCCUCCUGGGUUCAAGUGAUUCUCCUGCCUCAGCCUCCUGAGUAGCUGGGAUUACAGGCACACGCCACCACCCCUGGCUAAUUUUUUGUAUUUUUAUUAGAAACGGGGUUUCACCAUGUUAGCCAGGCUGGUCUCGAACUCCUGACCUCAGGUGAUCUGCCCACCUCGGCCUCCCAAAGUGCUGGGAUUACAGGCGUGAGCCACCGUGACUGGCUGAUUUUGUAUUUUUAGUAGAGACAGGGUUUCACCUGUUGGCCAGGCUGGUCUCAAACUCCUGACCUCAGGUGAUCUGCUCGCCUCAGCCUCCCAAAGUGCUGAAAUUACAGGCGUGAGCCACCGCACCUGGCCUAUAUGGGAAUAUUUAAAAGGCAACUUUAGGAGAAACUAUUACUGUUAUUCAAAACAGAUUCAAACUGUAGGUCUACAAGGGAGGGAGACAGGAAAGAACCACCACUCACUGCCUCCUUUCUGCCAAGAUUGGGCUCUGUUCUGCCUUUAGGGGAUCCUCGCACAUCCCUGUGCCCUGGAGGGGUCUUGGCCCUGGUUCACCUUUCCUCAUGUGCUCAGCAACAUGGGAGCAAAGGAUCCUGGCUGAGUUUUCCCCUAAUAUGUAUUCCAUCACCUGGUCCUCUUUCAAAGUGUUGGGUGCAUUUUGGGUCAAAGAUUCCCAGGAAACUGGAAAGCAUUCCAAAGUCCCCCAAAGGCUGGAGGAGCCUGGGAGCUGGACUGGACCAUGCUGACAAGUCUGAAGCUAGAGGCCACUCAGAAAGCUGCAGAGCAGGAGCCAUCGUCCCAGAGCCCUGUGGCUUCUGGGGCUUUAGUGGGCAGGCUUCCACGGAACCAGGACAGACCUGACUCCCAAGCUGCUCCCCACCAUCCAAACCCACAUCCUGAAGCUCUGGGGAGUGGCCCCAGGGCCUUGGCAUAGUCCUUUGGCAAGCUCUGCACAAACACAAGAAGUCCAUCCUCUGAGCCCAACCCCAAGGGCCCUCUUCCUAUUCCAGCCAUCUUUACAAUGCUGUUUCUGCUUUUUUCAAUGCUCAAAUUACGCUCAUUAAGAGAGGUUCCACCAGGACCCAGAUGGUAGGAUGUGGGCCACCUUGGGCUCUGGCAGAUUUCUGUAAAGAGCUUCCUGUAGACACUGGAGGCAGGAUAGGGGACAGCUGCUUUUACCUAUCCAGGGAAACUUGAUUAGGGAAAGGAAGUCCUUUCCCAGAGAGGCAGUUCAGACUUCCAGCUGUCUCAGGACAGCCUUAGAAUGGUCCUGAUGCUGGCCACACCCCACCUUGUUCUGGCUAGGCACAGGAUGGAGGGUGUGCUUCCGGCACGAAUGGGCUCUGCUGUCAGAGAGUGUGCAGCCACGUGACUGUGGGCACACUUCCCGUCUGGAAAAUGGGGAUCUUGGAGCACCUGCUUGGUAUGGGGUUGAUGAGGGUAAGGUGAGAGUUUUGAGGACAGGCCUUAGCACUCGGCCUGGCACACAGCAUGCACGUGAGUGGAGGAGCCAACUCUCCAGCCUCAGAGGCUGCUUCAUGAUCCUGGCCAUGCUGCCGUGUGUCUGCCUGGAGAAACACACAUUGCUGUGUCCCCAGCUGGAUCCCAGACCCGCCCGUUGGCACAGGGUCUCCGCCAUCUGUCAGAUGUUGAGAAAUCUAUACCCCGACUGAUGAUGAAGAUCCAGUAGAGAAAGAGCAUGUGCUGCUUUGGACCCAAGCUAUUCGGUCUGUGUGAUCCACAAAUUGUGGGUCCCUGUGUUGCCCCUCUAGACAACUUACCACACAGUCACACUGUGACCCCCUUAUAGUGACAGUUUUUGGUGACAAGAGGCUUUCUGGCCUGGACUCGUUGCUGACACCAACCAGAAGGUUCUGCAGGCCACCGUGUGGUUCACAAAGUCUCAGGAGGAGGCUGUGGUCUCUGACUCUCGAGCCAGUUUGUCUCAUUAACUCCAUAGAACAUUCUAGAAAUUCAGCAAUUCAGAAUAGGCUGAGUUGCUUGAAGAAAUAUCCUCCUGUUGCUGCCAGCCCACCCUGAGAUUUCACAAGCACUGUUCUGCUUCUCAGAAAAAGUGCCGCCAAACAGCACUUUGACCAAGACGCUGACGCUGCUGCCCUUGCUGGCUAACAAUCAAGAAAGGAGAGGCAUUGCCCUGGAUGGGAAAAUCAAGCACGAGGACACAAACCUUGCCUCCAGCACCAUCAUUAAGGAGGGCAUAGACCGGACCGUCCUGGGGAUCCUGGUGUCUUACCAGAUCAAGGUGAAGCUCACAGUGUCAGGCUUUCUGGGAGAGCUCACCUCCAGUGAAGUCGCCACUGAGGUCCCAUUCCGCCUCAUGCACCCUCAGCCUGAGGACCCAGCUAAGGAAAGUUAUCAGGAUGCAAAUUUAGUUUUUGAGGAGUUUGCUCGCCAUAAUCUGAAAGAUGCAGGAGAAGCUGAGGAGGGGAAGAGAGACAAGAAUGACAUUGAUGAGUGAAGAUGUCGGCUCAGGAUGCCGGAAAAUGACCUGUAGUUACCAGUGCAACAAGCAAAGCCCCACAGUUUAGUCCUUUGGAGUUAUGCUGCGUAUGAAAGGAUGAGUCUUCUUCCGAGAAAUAAAGCUUGUUUGUUCUCCCCUG